CCAGAAUUGACCAUGGUCCUGAUUUUAGACUCCUACUGAGAUCCGAGUGGAGAUGAGCCUCCCACAGGAACAUGCACCAGCACGGUUCUCAGAAGUUCAUCUUGGUGAUCACCCACAGAACCUCCCAGAAAGACAUCAGUAAGUUCCAGGUUGAAGAGGGACCUUCCCCGACGGCGUGACCAUCUCCCGAUGAAGUGCUCUGGAAAAGUUCAUUCCUCCCCCGUGGAACAUGAACUUGACAUUUCCUGCGGCUCCUUUUAGGAAGUGCUGCCCCCGAGCCACCAACACUCCCCGACUUUCUGAGGAUAAACGCUUUGUCCUGUUUUGAGAAACUGACUCAUGUUUAGCCUUAAUAAGUGCAUAGUAGGAAAUGACCACUGU